AAUUACGGCCAUACACAGGAGAAAGCUCCGCAUCCCGUUCGAUCUGCGCAGAUAACCUCCUGAUGGCAGGGUCAGUACUAUGGUGGGGGACCACAUGGGAAUACCCUGUGCUGUAAUUU
rnacentral:rRNA from 13 species